rnacentral:tRNA from 1 species
GCAGGGGUAUCGAAGUGGUCAUAACGAGGCGGUCUUGAAAACCGUUUGUCCGCAAGGGCGCGUGGGUUCGAAUCCACCCCCUGCG